AUUGAACGCUGGCGGCAUGCUUUACACAUGCAAGUCGAACGGUAACAGGCCUUCGGGUGCUGACGAGUGGCGAACGGGUGAGUAAUGCAUCGGAACGUGCCCAGAGGUGGGGGAUAACGCAGCGAAAGCUGUGCUAAUACCGCAUGUGAUCUGAGGAUGAAAGCGGGGGACCAAGCAGCAAUGUUUGGCCUCGCGCCUCUGGAGCGGCCGAUGUCAGAUUAGGUAGUUGGUGGGGUAAAGGCCUACCAAGCCGACGAUCUGUAGCUAGUCUGAGAGGACGACCAGCCACACUGGGACUGAGACACGGCCCAGACUCCUACGGGAGGCAGCAGUGGGGAAUUUUGGACAAUGGGCGCAAGCCUGAUCCAGCAAUGCCGCGUGCGGGAAGAAGGCCUUCGGGUUGUAAACCGCUUUUGUACGGAACGAAAAGGCUCUGGCUAAUACCUGGGGCUGAUGACGGUACCGUAAGAAUAAGCACCGGCUAACUACGUG
rnacentral:rRNA from 1 species